AGUGAUACCAGCUGAAAACCGAAGUUUACAUUCCAUCUUCAAAAUGAGAUACUGCAAGAAUGCCAAAAAUCCAGCACAGCCUUCUCAAGUAACAAUCCAAUCCUUGAGGGGACAUUGGGAUUUUGAGUUGUGGAAUUUUCCACCCAUUUAUCCUUUCAUUUUCAGUCUUCUUUGCCUCAAAGUGUCAGUUGGCUCCUCUGAGUCACAGCUGUACAAAUCACAGGACUAUUUUUUUAAUUGGCACCAGGCAUAUACAUUAUUCAUCUAUUUGGUUUCAUCUGAAGCAAAUCAAAUAAAGAAGCACUUUUAUUUUCCAAUGAAAUAUUCAAAGCUGCUUUUUCCCCACAAGAGACUAGGCAGAAAACUCCAUCCAUGAUCUAUAAAUGUGAAGACCUGCCUGAGGAGGAAGACUUAUGUAACAUUAGAAGGAAAAAAAAAAAGAAAACCUGAUCCUAAAGUCAUGUCUAUGCUGAUUCACAUCUCUGCACAGCCAGCAAAGAGAUCUUGUUAUAACAGAGAUGAGAUCCCCAUCACUUCUCUGCUUAAAACUCUGUAAGGCAUUCCUCUGAACCAUGGUCCAUAUGACUUGGGAUUCCUCCUCCUUGGACAUGCUAGACUCAUUAAGCCACAGGACCUUUGCAGUUACUGUUCACUCUCCCUGAACUGCUAUUCCCCAGAUUACUUAAGAUAAUCUCAGUCAUUUAUUUCUGCACCAUCAUGCCUGCAUGCCUCUGUCUCCAAGGUGAGAUCUCUGUUGACUGAUUAACUGGCUCUGGAAAAGGAAAGAUUUCAAUCUUGGACUCUGAGUUUUCUGUAACUCAGUGAGUCACUAUCUUUACUAGGAAUAAGAAUAUCAGAUAUGAAUGAAAGCUGCAAAGAAGCCAGAAAGAUAGAGCCCAGAGUCUCCCAAGAUUGUCUCUCUCAUUGCAUACACAAAGGAGACUCUGAAAUGGGACACUGGAUUUACAAAAAUAAGAAGAAAUAAUAGCUUCUUCCAUAAUAGAAAUUAGGCUAAGAAGAGAAACUGAAGGCAUAUGAUGCUGUAAUUGAACAGAAACAAUAAUAAUAAAGACAGUUUGUAAUGUGGAACACUUGGAAAGAAAUUAAUAAAUGAUGGAUAGAAAUCUUUCUGAGACUGAAAACUGAGUAAUUCUCUUACAGGACCAAAACAUUUCCUUCAGGGAACCACUAUGGCUAGGAAAUUGAGACAAGAUUUCCUACUCACCUGCCCACAAUGUGCUC
ensembl:lncRNA